CCCAUUUCUCCUGCCUGAAUGUGCUGUACUCAUUGAUAUGCUACCCAUGAAAAAGUAUUUCCAGCUUCCGGUCAGGCUUUACAACUGCUUGUUAAAAGCCCGUGACCUCUGGAUAAGAGUGAAAUACCAAGCACUAAGGGAGGCUAGAGCCAUUCUUCAAUCAGGAACAAAUGCAUUCUAAACAAGGAUUAUGAGAAAAAGCAAUAAAGGAAGACAUCAAUUCUCAAGCGAAUAAUUUCUUCUAUAGAGC
rnacentral:lncRNA from 1 species